CUGGGCAGCAAGGGCAUGAGGCUGUGUGUUUGGGCACCAGAAACCAGUGGGUGCCAGCUCCUGGCAAAGGUGCAGCUGCAGGGGAAGCAGUAAAUAUCAAUGAAACCAGCCUCCAUGCAGAAGGUCAGAUCUUAACAAUUACCUAUGUGGUUCCUCCCGUCCCAUAUUCCUGGCUCCAAGAAGGCAUCAUCCCGAUUCCACGGUGAGUUACCACUUCUCAAGGGCUAGGCAUGGGGAAGAAAACACAUGUCCAUGUUCCAAGCAACUGGCCGUGGAGUUUUGAAACAAAUUCACAUGCAAGUUGGAG
rnacentral:lncRNA from 1 species